rnacentral:rRNA from 1 species
GACGAACGCUGGCGGCGUGCUUAACACAUGCAAGUCGAACGGAAAGGCCCUGCUUUUGUGGGGUGCUCGAGUGGCGAACGGGUGAGUAACACGUGAGUAACCUGCCCUUGACUUUGGGAUAACUUCAGGAAACUGGGGCUAAUACCGGAUAGGAGCUCCUGCUGCAUGGUGGGGGUUGGAAAGUUUCGGCGGUUGGGGAUGGACUCGCGGCUUAUCAGCUUGUUGGUGGGGUAGUGGCUUACCAAGGCUUUGACGGGUAGCCGGCCUGAGAGGGUGACCGGCGACAUUGGGACUGAGAUACGGCCCAGACGCCUACGGGAGGCAGCAGUGGGGAAUCUGGCACAAUGGGCGGAAGUCUGAUGCAGCAACGUCGCGUGCGGGAAGACGGCCUUCGGGUUGUAAACCGCUUUCGCCUGUGACGAAGCGUGAGUGACGGUAAUGGGUAAAAAAGCCCCGGCUAACUACGUG